rnacentral:rRNA from 1 species
AGCGAACGCUGGCGGCAUGCCUAACACAUGCAAGUCGAACGAACCUUUCGGGGUUAGUGGCGGACGGGUGGGUAACACGUGGGAACGUUCCUUUAGGGUCGGAAUAACUCAGGGAAACUUGUGCUAAUACCGAAUGUGCCCUUCGGGGGAAAGAUUUAUCGCCUUUAGAGCGGCCCGCGUGUGAUUAGCUAGUUGGUUGAGGUAAUGGCUCACCAAGGCGACGAUCAGUAGCUGGUCUGAGAGGAUGAUCAGCCACCUUGGGACUGAGACACGGACCAAACUCCUACGGGAGGACGCAGUGGGGAAUCUUGCGCAAUGGGCGAAAGCCUGACGCAGCCAUGCCGCGUUACUGAUGAAGGUCUUAGGAUUGUAAAAUUCUUUCAACGGGGACGAUAAUGACGGUACCCGGAGAAGAAGCCACGGCUAACUUCGUG